UAGCUGCCAUGAAAAAUGUAAUUUGUAAUUGCAUUACUCAUCACAAAUGUAGUGGAGUAAAAAGUACAUUCACUUGCUCAAAAAUGUAGUCAAGUAAAGAGUAAAAGUAGCCAAAAAGAUACUUAAGUAGAGUAACUAAUUACAUUUACUCAAGUACUUUACACCUCUGCUCUUAACACAUCUUGGGAAAAUCUGAUAAGAUAAUCUGUAGAACCAUCAAGACAAUCAGGACUUUACUUAGGAUUGUCAUCUAUAUUUACAUAUUUAUUGUUGUGUUUUGACUAUAUUUUAAUUGUAAGACAGUCAGAAUGUAAAUGAUCAUUCUGUAAUUCUAGUGUAUAUUAGUUUGUCUGUUGUAAAUCCUGCCCACUUCUUUGCAUUGUCACACAUGCUUCAGUGCUCUGAGAGUGUUUAUAGUGCUGUGAGUUUAACACUUCAUGACUGAGAGCAGAACAGAACACAAUCUUCAUCAUCACACAAGACAAAAGAUCAACAAUGAACACAAUCACCUUCUUCAUCUGGACUCUCACACUGUUUGCUCAAGAAUCCAGAGGAGUGACUCUGACUCAACCUGAAGUUAAAACUGUCCAACAGGGUCAAACAGCUACAAUAGAGUGUCAUAUAGAUGUAGGAAUAAGGUAUAGCCACUUAGCCUGGUAUCAGCAGAAACCUGGAGAAGCUCCUAAACUCCUGAUUUAUUAUAUAAACAGCCUCCAGUCAGGAACUCCAUCUAGAUUCAGUGGCAGUGGAACAGCAAGUACUGGACGAGAUUUCACUCUGACCAUCAGUGGAGUCCAGACUGAAGAUACAGGAGAUUAUUACUGUCAGAGUUUACACAGCAUUAACAGUAAAGCUGUGUUCACACAGUGAUAAAGAGUGGUACAAAAACCUCGGUCAGUCAGACGUCACAGUGAUGCACUGAUACAGCUGAGAGAUACUGCAGCUGCUGAUGGAGGAUCACAAACAAUGGUGGAAAAAAAAGUACACUUCUAUGGUCAUGCAUCCAAUGUCAGUAUGUGCACUCAACUUGAGUGCGAUCUAAAAGCAGACCCCUGUGAGCCCUUGAAGACCCAUUUCCCACAUCCAGUAACCCAUGACGAUGUUUUUGUUAUGAUGGACGCUUGCCACAUGCUGAAGCUGACAUGCAAUAUGUUGCAGGCAUACAGCCCAAUUAGAAGCAUAACUGGCAGUAUCAAUUGAAGUACAUAGUUCAUCUGAACAAUGUCCAAAAGAAAAGUGGACUACAUGCUGCCAACAGAGUCACAGAUAAGCAUGUGAACUUUGCUAAUCAGAAGAUGAAGGUCUCCCUGGCUGCUCAGACUUUGAGUAGCUCUGUGGCAGUGGCGCUCCGCACGUCGCAGGAGGUGGGCUAUGCAGAGUUCAAAGAUUGUGAGGCUACUUCAGAAUUCAUUAAGGUAAUGCAGCUAGGGAUUUGCAUCACUGACCAAAAUCAUUUCUAACAUUUGAGUGAUUAAUUGCUUUAACCCCUUUAACCCUUUAACACCCACCCUCCCUUUGUGGUUGGUCCGUUGGUCAGCAACCCCAAAAUGAGGGGGGUUGUUAAAAUGUGAAUGCCACCAGGAUUAUCCCUUUAUCUUUUUCUUCUAUUUUUUUCAAUUUGAGCAUCGGGAAUGAUUAAAUAAUUAUGACCAUCCUCAAAUUCAACAAUAUGCAAGAACUUGGAUAAAACUACUACAUACUUACCUCAGAAGCACCCUUAUUGUCACAUGUCAGCAUAGCCACAGAGGAAAUGGAGAGAAAUCAAACUAUGCCUCAUACUUGGGUGUUUACUAUCUGAUACCUGUUGACACUCAGUUAUAGUGAUGAUUUCAGUGCUUCCAGUUAAUUUAGGUAUUUGUUUAUAGAUAACAGACAGGCUGUUUGACAUCUUGAACAGUCGCAAUCCCAGAGCCAAAGGGUUCAAAGCCCCCCUUGGUUCUAGGAAUUGGACAAGCACCAGGGAGUUCUUGUCAAAAGCCAGGGGGUACUUGCUCACUUUGAAGAUGGAGGAUGGCAAACCCCUUUACCGAACAAAGAGGUCUUUUAAAAUAGUGACUGUUGUAUUAGUGAUGCACUGACACCAUUUGUAGUCGCCAAUACCCAGUACAAAUUCUUUAUUAUAAUUAAAUUAUCAGAAUGAGGCGGCUGAUUUAGAAAAUAUGGGUUUAUUUUAUUCUUCGUUAGAUGUAUACAAGUAGUCAAUUUACAAAUCAUUAAAUUAUCUAAGGUAAAACUCUGCCGGUUUCAGUGCAUCCCUCCAGUCCAUGAUAUAAGUUCAUGAGAUGCUCUGUUCUCUUGUUUAUCUAUCUUCUGCAUCGAGUUCAUAAGAUGCUCUUUUCUGUCUGCGUCAAGUUCAUAAAGUGGUACGUAUUAUUAAUAUGAUACUAUCUUGCUCCAAUGUGUUUGCUCUCUGCAAAUUUGUUUCAGUUCCAAUUCUCUCAUAUUCAGUUUUUUUCUCCCCAGAUGCCGGUGUCAAAAUGGUAUGUAUUGGAUGGUCUUCAUGUUAUGUUGUGAAUUGUUUCAAGAAUGUUUAGUGUCCUAAAAGUAAUUUUAAGGACCCUAAACCUCACACUGAUUAUACUUUUAAGGUCAGGGAUGGACACUAGUCAGCUUCACGAUAUGUCCUGACCUACAGGUUCAGCCAGGACCACUUGGAGCUUCUCUUCAACUCCAUCAGAGCAUCCGGUGGCUGGAAUAACAACCCUAAUGCCAGCCAGUUCAAGUACAUCUUGUUAAACCAUGCAGAGGCAAUGUGACGGCACAGGAUGACACAGAGUCCCUACCAGCUGUCAUCGACACCUCUACAAGCCUGUCAGCUGUAGAUAUGUCCUCUGCAGCAGGAGGAGAAGAUCUUCCAUCCCCCUUUGCUGACAUUCCUGCCCUAGUACAUGACCACAGCUACCUUCCCGUCCGCUUCGAUGGUCUUGUGGACAACGCUCUCGUGUACAUUUCAGGAUUUGUUGUUGAUGGGAUCUGAAGAAGCUGUCCUGUGAUGUCUGCCGUGCCAGCCUGGUGACAGACGCUGCAUCUGUCAUCAAGGACCAGAGCUACCACCUGCUGACUUUAAAAAACAACGGAGGUCUGGUGAUUCCAUCAGGAUGCACAGUGAGGGUCGUCAGGGCAGCAGAGUGGGUCAUUCGUCAGGCAUCAGCAAGUACCGGACGAUCACAGCCCAUCAAACUGCUAGAGGUCGUGUACAUUGUAUGGAAGAGGAUAGGGUCAGAGGAUGUGUUUGUGCUCGGGGAGCACAUCGGCGAAACGCAGUAUGGCAUAGACAGCCAUCACCAUACGCUGUUAACAUUAGUUGUGUCCUUGCUUUUUAAUCUAAGGCUGCACCACAUCGCUAAAAUGACUAACCUUACCUUACAGAGCAACAACAUGCGAGAGAAGCUCAAUAAAACCGUCCUUUUCAAAGGGCAUUAGCCCAAGCUAUGUUUUUUGGGUCAUUGUUUUAUCUCUGUCUUCCACAGUAGUGUAGUUCUCUCUACAGGGUGGGGAUUUCAACAUGCAUUCAGCAUUUCUUUAUGUAUAUUUGUAAAGGGGAAUCUUGUACCUAUUUUUUAUUGCAAAUAAAUGCCACUUUUAUAAUAGUUUAAAAA